rnacentral:rRNA from 1 species
GGUCUGAUCAUGGCUCAGAUUGAACGCUGGCGGGAUGCUUUACAUGCAAGUCGAACGGCAGCACGGACUUCGGUCUGUGGUAUAUGAGUGGCGAACGGGUGCAGAGUAAUGUAUCGGAACGUGCCUAGUAGCGGGGGAUAACUACGCGAAAGCGUAGCCAAUACCGCAUACGCCCUUCGGGGGGAAAGCGGGGACCUUCGGGCCUCGCACUAUUAGAGCGGCUGAUAUCGGAUUAGCUAGUUGGUGGGGUAACGGCUCACCAAGGCGACGAUCCGUAGCUGGUUUGAGAGGACGACCAGCCACACUGGGACUGAGACACGGCCCAGACUCCUACGGAGGCAGCAGUGGGGGAAUUUUGGACAAUGGGGAAACCCCGAUCCAGCCAUCCCGCGUGUGCGAUGAAGGCCUUCGGGUUGUAAAGCACUUUGGCAGGAAGAAACGGCACGGGAUAAUACCCCGUGCAACUGACGGUAAUUCCGCAGAAUAAGCACCGGCUAGCCACGUGCCAGCAGCCGCGGUAAUACGUAGGGUGCAAGCGUUAAUCGGAAUUACUGGGCGUAAAGCGUGCGCAGGCGGUUCGGAAAGAAAAGAUGUGAAAUCCCAGAGCUUAAUCUUGGAACUGCAUUUUUAACUACCGAGCUAGAGUGUGUCAGAGGGAGGUGGAAUUCCGCGUGUAGCAGUGAAAUGCGUAGAUAUGCGGAGGAACACCGAUGGCGAAGGCAGCCUCCUGGGAUAACACUGACGCUCAUGCACGAAAGCGUGGGGAGCAAACAGGAUUAGAUAAUUCCUGGUAGUCCACGCCCUAAACGAUGUCAACUAGCUGUUGGGGCCUUCGGGCCUUGGUAGCGCAGCGAUCACAGGAAGUUGACCGCCUGGGAGUACGGUCGCAAGAUUAAAACUCAAAGGAAUUGACGGGGACCCGCACAAGCGGUGGAUGAUGUGGAUUAAUUCGGAUGCAACGCGAAAACCUACCUACCCUUGACAUGUCUGGAAUCCCGAAGAGAUUUGGGAGUGCUCGCAAGAGAACCGGAAACACAGGUGCUGCAUGGCUGUCGUCAGCUCGUGGCCGUGAGAUGCUGGGUUAAGUCCCGCAACGAGCGCAACCCUUGUCAUUAGUUGCUACUAGAAAGGGCACUCUAAUGAGACUGCCGGUGACAAACCGGAGGAAGGUGGGGAUGACGUCAAGUCCUCAUGGCCCUUAUGGGUAGGGCUUCACACGUCAUACAAUGGUCGGGACAGAGGGUCGCUAACCCGCGAGGGGGAGCCAAUCCUAGAAACCUCGAUCGUAGUCCGGAUCGCAGUCUGCAACUCGACUGGUGAAGUCGGAAUCGCUGGUAAUCGGUGAUCAGCAUGUCGCGGUGAAUACGUUCCCCGGGUCUUGUACACACCGCCCGUCACACCAUGGGAGUGGGUUUUACCAGAAGUAGUUAGCCUAACCGUAAGGAGGGCGAUUACCACGGUAGGAUUCAUGACUGGGGUGAAGUCGUAACAAGGUAG